rnacentral:rRNA from 1 species
GACGAACGCUGGCGGCGUGCCUAAUACAUGCAAGUCGAGCGAAUCUUUAGGAGCUUGCUCCCAAAAGUCAGCGGCGGACGGGUGAGUAACACGUGGGCAACCUGCCUGUAAGACUGGGAUAACUUCGGGAAACCGGAGCUAAUACCGGAUAAUUCUUUCCCUCACAUGAGGGGAAGCUGAAGGAUGGUUUCGGCUAUCACUUACAGAUGGGCCCGCGGCGCAUUAGCUAGUUGGUGAGGUAACGGCUCACCAAGGCAACGAUGCGUAGCCGACCUGAGAGGGUGAUCGGCCACACUGGGACUGAGACACGGCCCAGACUCCUACGGGAGGCAGCAGUAGGGAAUCUUCCGCAAUGGACGAAAGUCUGACGGAGCAACGCCGCGUGAGUGAUGAAGGUUUUCGGAUCGUAAAACUCUGUUGUUAGGGAAGAACAAGUGCCGUUCGAACAGGGCGGCACCUCGACGGUACCUAACCAGAAAGCCACGGCUAACUACGUGCCAGCAGCCGCGGUAAUACGUANGUGGCAAGCGUUGUCCGGAAUUAUUGGG